rnacentral:rRNA from 1 species
AGCAGCCGCGGUAAUUCCAGCUCCAAUAGCGUAUAUUAAAGUUGCUGCAGUUAAAAAGCUCGUAGUUGAAUUUCGGGACCAUCAUGUCGGUCGUGCCUCGGUACGUACUGGCAUUGUUGGUUUCUCCCUUCUGACGAACCAUGAUGUCAUUAAUUUGGUGUUAUGGGAAAUCAGGACUGUUACUUUGAAAAAAUUAGAGUGUUUAAAGCAGGCAUUAGCUUGAAUACAUUAGCAUGGAAUAAUGAAAUAGGACGUUCGAACCUAUUUUGUUGGUUUUUAGGAUCAACGUAAUGAUUAAUAGGGAUAGUUGGGGGCAUUAGUAUUCAAUUGUCAGAGGUGAAAUUCUUGGAUUUAUUGAAGACUAACUACUGCGAAAGCAUUUGCCAAGGAUGUUUUCAUUAAUCAAGAACGAAAGUUAGGGGAUCGAAGACGAUCAGAUACCGUCGUAGUCUUAACCAUAAACUAUGCCGACUAGGGAUCGGAUGAUGUUAAUUUUUAAUGACUCAUUCGGCGCCUUAAC